GUGGGGAAUCUUGCGCAAUGGGCGAAAGCCUGACGCAGCCAUGCCGCGUGAAUGAUGAAGGUCUUAGGAUUGUAAAAUUCUUUCACCGGGGAUGAUAAUGACGGUACCCGGAGAAGAAGCCCCGGCUAACUUCGUGCCAGCAGCCGCGGUAAUACGAAGGGGGCUAGCGUUGCUCGGAAUUACUGGGCGUAAAGGGCGCGUAGGCGGACAGUUUAGUCAGAGGUGAAAGCCCAGGGCUCAACCUUGGAAUUGCCUUUGAUACUGGCUGUCUUGAGUUUGGGAGAGGUGAGUGGAACUCCGAGUGUAGAGGUGAAAUUCGUAGAUAUUCGGAAGAACACCAGUGGCGAAGGCGACUCACUGGCCCAAUACUGACGCUGAGGCGCGAAAGCGUGGGGAGCAAACAGGAUUAGAAACCCUGGUAGUCC
rnacentral:rRNA from 1 species